rnacentral:rRNA from 1 species
GGGUACACGAGUGGCGAACGGGUGAGUAACACGUGGGCAAUCUGCCCUGCACUUUGGGAUAAGCCUGGGAAACUGGGUCUAAUACCGAAUAUGACCUUUAGACACAUGUUUAUUGGUUGAAAGUUUUUCGGUGCAGGAUGAGCCCGCGGCCUAUCAGCUUGUUGGUGGGGUAAUGGCCUACCAAGGCAACGACGGGUAGCCGGCCUGAGAGGGUGAACGGCCACACUGGGACUGAGAUACGGCCCAG